UUCCUCGUGGCUUAGAUGGUAAAGCGUCUGCCUACAAUGCAGAAGACCCGGGUUCAAUUCCUGGGUCGGAAG
rnacentral:tRNA from 1 species